rnacentral:rRNA from 1 species
AGAGUUUGAUCCUGGCUCAGGAUGAACGCUAGCUACAGGCUUAACACAUGCAAGUCGAGGGGAAACGAUAGAGAAAGCUUGCUUUUUCUAGGCGUCGACCGGCGCACGGGUAAGUAACGCGUAUCCAACCUGCCUAUCACUUGGGGAUAACUUUGCGAAAGUAAGACUAAUACCCAAUGACGUCUCUAGAAGACAUCUGAAGGAGAUAAAGAUUUAUCGGUGAUGGAUGGGGAUGCGUCUGAUUAGCUUGUUGGCGGGGUAACGGCCCACCAAGGCGACGAUCAGUAGGGGUUCUGAGAGGAAGGUCCCCCACAUUGGAACUGAGACACGGUCCAAACUCCUACGGGAGGCAGCAGUGAGGAAUAUUGGUCAAUGGACGAGAGUCUGAACCAGCCAAGUAGCGUGCAGGAUGACGGCCCUAUGGGUUGUAAACUGCUUUUAUAAGGGAAUAAAGUGAGUCUCGUGAGACUUUUUGCAUGUACCUUAUGAAUAAGGACCGGCUAAUUCCGUGCCAGCAGCCGCGGUAAUACGGAAGGUCCGGGCGUUAUCCGGAUUUAUUGGGUUUAAAGGGAGCGUAGGCCGGAGAUUAAGCGUGUUGUGAAAUGUAGACGCUCAACGUCUGCACUGCAGCGCGAACUGGUUUCCUUGAGUACGCACAAGGUGGGCGGAAUUCGUGGUGUAGCGGUGAAAUGCUUAGAUAUCACGAAGAACUCCGAUUGCGAAGGCAGCUCACUGGAGCGCAACUGACGCUGAAGCUCGAAAGUGCGGGUAUCGAACAGGAUUAGAUACCCUGGUAGUCCGCACGGUAAACGAUGGAUGCCCGCUGUUGGUCUGAAUAGGUCAGCGGCCAAGCGAAAGCAUUAAGCAUCCCACCUGGGGAGUACGCCGGCAACGGUGAAACUCAAAGGAAUUGACG